rnacentral:rRNA from 1 species
AGAGUUUGAUCCUGGCAGAACGAACGCUGGCGGAGUGCUUAAGACAUGCAAGUCGUACGAGAAAGCCGUCUUCGGAUGGUGAGUAGAGUGGCGCACGGGUGAGUAACACGUGGAUAAUCUGCCUUUUGGUCUGGGAUAACCCCGGGAAACUGGAGCUAAUACCGGAUGAGCCCACGACGUCUCGGGACGAUGUGGGAAAAGAUGGCCUCUCCUUGGAAGCUAUCGCCAAUCGAUGAGUCCGCGGACCAUUAGCUUGUUGGUGAGGUAACGGCUCACCAAGGCUGCGAUGGUUAGCUGAUCUGAGAGGAUGAUCAGCCACACUGGGACUGAGACACGGCCCAGACUCCUGCGGGAGGCAGCAGUGGGGAAUAUUGGACAAUGGGCGAAAGCCUGAUCCAGCAAUACCGCGUGUGUGAAGAAGGCCUGAGGGUUGUAAAGCACUUUCAAUAGAGACGAAAAGCCUGGGAUUAAUACUUCCGGGUCUUGACUUAACCUAUAGAAGAAGCACCGGCUAACUCCGUGCCAGCAGCCGCGGUAAUACGGAGGGUGCAAGCGUUAAUCGGAAUUACUGGGCGUAAAGCGCUCGUAGGCGGCUUGUUAAGUCGGAUGUGAAAGCCCUGGGCUCAACCUGGGAACUGCAUUCGAUACUGGCAAACUAGAGUAUAGUAGAGGCAAGUGGAAUUCCGGGUGUAGCGGUGAAAUGCGUAGAUAUCCGGAGGAACAUCAGUGGCGAAGGCGACUUGCUGGACUAAUACUGACGCUGAGGAGCGAAAGCGUGGGGAGCAAACGGGAUUAGAUACCCCGGUAGUCCACGCCGUAAACGAUGUCAACUAGCCGUUGGGGGUCUUAGUACCUUUAGUGGCGCGGCUAACGCAUUAAGUUGACCGCCUGGGGAGUACGGCCGCAAGGUUAAACUCAAAGGAAUUGACGGGGGCCCGCACAAGCGGU